rnacentral:rRNA from 1 species
UACAGAGGGCAGCUACCCAGCAAUGGGAUGCGAAUCUCGAAAGCCUGUCUCAGUUCGGAUUGGAGGCUGAAACCCGCCUCCAUGAAGUUGGAUUCGCUAGUAAUCGCGCAUCAGCCAUGGCGCGGUGAAUACGUUCCCGGGCCUUGUACACACCGCCCGUCAAGCCAUGGGAGCCGGGGGUGCCUGAAGUUCGUGACCGCAAGGAGCGACCUAGGGCAAAACUGGUGACUGGGCUAAGUCGUAACAAGGUAAC